CUUUUCAGCGUUAGGGUCAGAACCCAGCAGAAAGGGACAGCAGGAAGGAUCAGCCUCCGGUGUGUGAACCCACAGACUCACCACCCACAGAGAACCCCAUCCUGGACUCGGUUGUUCCUGAACAGAGGUGGGGUGCGGAUGCUACAUGUGGGGUCACGGCAUAAAGGGAGCACUUCCUUCCCCCCUCCCCCCCCCCGCAGAAACGCUGAAGAGGACAAGUCGGGCAGAUGUCCACGAGAGGGACCCCGGUCCACUGCUGCUGACCCACGACAGAGCCCACGACAGAGCCCACAGAGGUUGAAAGAAGGCAGAGAGAUCAAUAAAACCCUCUUGGCUGGAAAAGAGGAGCUGUUUCCAGGGCAACAAGGGAGGACGAUAUGUUAUGGAUUUGAAGGAGACAGCGUUUGACUAAUGCAAAGAAAGAAGUGAGAGAAAACGGAGAUCAGACUCGGGGCCAAACGGAGAAUAAGAGACCGUGACUCGAGCCUCUGCCGCUUCUCUGUUGAGCGCCCCAAACCGCCCUCCCCCAGCUCCCAGUGCCCAGCUCCCCUCCCAGCCCACAGGCCUCUCAGGCUUCCGUGGCUCUUCUCCCUCCGGGGAAACUUCACUACAGAAAGAGACCAGACACACAGAAACUCUCGACUUCUUGCAGAGGCUGUGGCGUUUCAACGUGACGUAAGAUCUCCUGCUAGAGUUUCUUCAAGGAUGGCAAUCACUUCUCAGGAGCCAGGGUGGCAACACCCAAGACUAGGGAAGAGUGAAAUGUACCUGAAAGUCUCUGGUCAGUCAUUUUUUUAUUCCAAUUUAUUUUAAAAAAUGUUAUUGAUAUAUAGUUGAUUGGCAAUGUGUUAGUUUCAGGUGUACAGCCAAGUGAUUCCUAUAUAUAUAUAUAUGUGUGUGUGUGUGUAUUCUUUUUUUAUAUUCUGUUCCAUUAUACGUUAUUAUAAGAUAUUGAGUAUAGUCCCUGUGCUGUACGUAUAUAGUAGGUCUUUGAUGGUUAUCUAUUAUAUAUAUAGUAGUAUGUAUAUUUUAAUUCCGAAUUCCUAAUUCAUCCCUCCCCUCCUGCCCUGAGGUAACCAUAAGUUUGUUUUCUA
rnacentral:lncRNA from 1 species